CAGGUCUUUUGGGAAGUUUAGCGUCAGUGCUUCUCAGAAGUGGGAGUGCAUCUUGCAGGAGUGCCGAGAUAAAUUGGCAAUCACCUCUGGUCCUGAGAUGAGCACAAGCAAGAUCUGGAAUAAUCUGGCAACUCAGCUUGAGGCAGAGAAGCAGCUGGCAUCGAGACAAGGUGGCACGGUUGAUUUCCUGGAUGGGAUCGAUCGUAUACCAGAGUUGAGGGAGGAGUUGAACUAUCAGCAUUUCAUGGAUAUUCACACGUAUUUAGGCAAGGCAUUUGGUUGCAGACUCCAUCCCCUAGGGCAGCUUUUACUCUCCUUAGUUGAUGCCUUUAGGGCCACUUACGGAGGGGUCGUCGCUCACCCCCGCCUCCUUCCAUAUGCAGUUCAAGAGGUUCAUUCAUUCACGUCAAGACUGUUUGAAAUUGUUCGGGUUCUUUUCCCCAACCUUCCAAGCGAAAAUGAAAAUUUAUUGCUCGAGUCAGAAAAUGAAGAUGAAGAAGAUAUAGUUGUCACGCCAGCAUACGUCAUUCAUCCAUGGCUGCUACCUCAUUUGUACUCUCCGCUGUCCACUUUGUACGUUUUGUAUCACCAGCCCAAGGAUGAAGAAUACUGGCAGAGACUGCUGAAAUGGAACAAGCAACCGGACACAGCUCUCAUGACAUUUUUGGGAGUUGAUGUGAAAUUUUGGUUACCUGAGGGGACUAGCCUGAUUGAGUCGAGCAGAACCAUAGGCACAAUGAAGGAUCAGCAUUUUACAGAAGCUAUAGAAACCCUCCAGAUGUUGUCUACAUCGUUCAGCCCCAGAGACAAGCUAAACCUCAUCCAUCGUACCUUCCAGCAAGUUAGCAAGGCUGUGAUGACCAAAUUAGGAAGCAAUUACCUGUGGAGUAUGGAUGAUCUGUUCCCUGUGUUCCAGUAUGUUGUUGUAAGGUCACGUAUCCAGCACUUGGGGGCAGAAAUUCAACUCAUUGAUGAUUUGUUAGAUCCUCAUAUGCAACACGGGGAACUUGGAAUCAUGUUCACGACGUUGCGGGCGUGCUACUAUCAAAUCCAAAACGAGAAAGUGAGCCACAUGCUGUGAUAUUGAAAAUGACUCGUGGCAGUGUAUGACAUUUUUUUGAAGUAAAUUGUAAAGUGACAAGUGGGAAGCAGAAACUUUGCAAGUGGGGGAAACAAAGUAAAGGAAAUAAAAAAAAAUACUCAGACUCAAAAAACUUUCCAGGCUUGUGAUAGAGCAUCAAAAUAUGGUAAAAAUGCUUUACGUUUAAUCCUGUGAUGCAGUAGAGGCUUUCUUGAACAACACAUGUUUAUGUGAAUUAAGGAGUGUUUUAAGAGACUUAUAUUCCUAUUGAGAAGCUGGUUAUCUGUACUGUGUACCGUGUGGAGAACUUGUACCGUGCAGGUGGGUUUGUCAGUUGUGUAGUGAUAAGCCAAAGUAGUUAACGUUUUAGUUUGUACAAGUAGAGUAAAGUAUUUGUAUUUGAUAGACCCAGCCCGCUUGCUGUUUUUGCGAGUCAGCGUCUUUGGAGGUUGUUUCUGAGAGAGAGAUACUUUACCGGGAAAGGAGCCAAGUUGAGUAGAUGCUCUUCUAUGCAAUGUUGUAUCUUGAAUUGAAGGCACCUAUGCAGAUGGAAAAGCAUGAAGUUCUGUUCUGUUUGGGUAGCUGUUAGUUUAGAUUUAUUAACGAGAUACCUUUGAUUACUAGAAGCUGUGAAUUCUUAUGUACGUUUACAUGUUACUUGAUAGGUCAAGUAAGUUACCUUGAAACUAGAGGGUAUUUGGAUGUGGUAUUGUCAUUUUUGUGUGGGUUGGAGAAAGUGUGUCUUGAGGUUUCAGCACAAGGUGAAAAGGAGUUGUAGCUUUAGAUUGUUGUCAGUGUUACCUGUUUAGGAAACAGAUGAUUAGAAAAUUAUCCCUUGAGUGUGGCAGUGUGAUGACAUUUUUUUGUUUCCCUCAGAGGAAAUCUGACUUCUUUUUGCCUUGUACCCAUUCUUCUGAUUAUUGUUUGCCAUGCCACAUUAAAUGAUAAGUGAAGCUUAGGUCAGUAACUACGAAGUGGAUUUGGAAGACUAUCUGGGCAAGUUGUACCUUUGCAAGAGGUUCAAGAUCUUGAUGGAUCUAUAUGGUUGAUUGUUGGUUCAUUACACAAAAUUAACUCAAUGAAGGAGCUUAGCUUACCAGAUAGUGGGUGUUAAUUGCUUUCUGUUCUUUAUGGAGCAAAAUUAGGAAAAUUUGUCCUGCUUCUAAGGGGGCAAAGUUUUUCAUAACUCCUUAUUCAGUGAAUGUGGUUAAGAUAAUCUUGUGGUGCUUCAAAUUAAAACUUCAUUCAAAUCAGAUGGUCAGGCAUUUGUUAAUGCCUAAUACUUUUACUGUCUUUUUGUUUGUGAUUUUGAUUGAAUACAAUCUCAUAUUUUACACAAGACUUGACCCUGCUAGCACAUCUGUAAGUACAGCAUCCGAGUAGUUCUGAUUAGACCAGAGGUAUGUGCUUCAGUCUUCAGUUGCAGUAAUAAAAGUUUCAAGAAUGCCUCUUUUGGCCAAGCAAGUAGAUUGGAAGAAGGAGCACCUGUCAGAAAAGUCAUUGAUAAAGAAGUGGCAGGAAAACAAGCUGUGGAAAAUCCAAGAUCAUGGAGAUGGGGUACAGAUAAUUCCUUGGGCCAGAUGGGAAUUCAGGCAGGAAUAGCACAAGAUAGAGGAGUGAAAGGAACUCAUCAGGUGUCUAACUGUCUAGAGAGUGUAACCAGACAUGGAAGAGUCAGCAACAGUGGUGACAGCUUGUUGGUAGUAGAAUUAGGCACAAGAAAUGGAGUUGAGAGAAUCAUCUUGAGGAAGGAUCUCGCCUGAUUACUGUACAGGACCACAUCGAUCCCCUUUCAUGUACAGUGUUCACAAGGACCUUACCCGUUAAGUUGGCAGCAGGGCGUCCGAGUCCACCAGCAAUGAAGGCUUAUGGUGUUUUAUGAUUGAAGAUGUUCUGUUUCUGAACAGAAGUUUGUGUGGUCAACUUUUGUAACAUAAUCACCCAUGCUUGUGUGCAUAGCAUGUGAAGUUGUUUGCUGUGAAAGUUGGGAUAGCAUGACUAUAUUUUCACAAUUUGCAAGAGAAUGCUGGCUCGGAAUACUAAUGCUUAUGUUUGCUGCCUAAAAGUAAUGCUUAUUUCGGAGCCUAUGUUAAACAUAUUGUAUACUCUUGAAGGAUCAAGUGUGUAUGUACUUGGUCACAAAAACAGCUUUUCAAAUAACUGAGAGUAGGGGUGGUAUUGUUAUAGAGCCUCCAUAUUAUCAUGUCCAUGUUUCUCAAGUAAGUUCGGGGACAUCUGAUUCAGCAAGUGGAACUUCCUGUCAUGUGCACUGAAUGAAAUCUACACAGAAAGGUUGGCAAGAGACCUCAUCAAUUCAGGGUGUGGUACUUUUGAAUUUUUGUAAAUCAAACUAUUUAUGAAUUUGUUAAUGUUAAAAUUGUUUUAAAAGGAUAAAAUAGUUUGGUAAUGUAUGGUAGAAUGUUUGUUUUAUAUGCUGUUAUACUGUAGUGGUAAGGAAGUAUUAAUAUAAUGUGAUGUUCAGAUAACUUCACAAAAAAAAAAAUUGUAAAUCAUAACUAUUGAUGACAUGAUAACAUUGUCAGACUCUUCAUUUCAUGCCAGAGUGUUAGGAACACAUUGUCCCUAGUUUGAUGAUCUGGUGUAAGCUCAUUUUUCAUUAUUCUCAGAAAAUGAACUGCAAAGAUUUUGAUAUCAUUCAGAGCUUUAAUUAGCUGAUUUUUUUAGGACAUUUGGUUAAAAAAUGUGACAACACUGACCCCUGAAAUUUUUGUAUGUGAAAGGGUAUAAAAAACUGUCACUUUGGUUGGAAAACUAAAAAAAAUCGUAAGAAAAAAAAGGGUUAUGCGAGUUCAUCAAAACAGGGAUGAUAUGGCAACGAUGACUAAGCUAAAUGUUUUCCAGUAAGAUGUUAGGAUUCUUUAUUUUUACUGAGUUUUGAGACUGUGGAUCAUGUGCUUCUUAUAGUAUUUUUUUUUUCAUGUCAAAUAUGUACUGUGUAUUAUAGUCUGUUAAUUUCCAUGCUUCUCUCAUAAAAGUAUUAAAAAAAAUUGAGUGAUAUAAAAUGAUUUGGUUAGCUUUUGCAUUGUGUAUAACUGGAGCUUUUAAAAGACCUCCAUUUUUGUAUAAUUGGUUGCAACCAAAAGUCUAAGUCAUAAUAAGUUAGAUGUCGAAUUUUGUGUUAAAAUGCUAUCAUUUACAUUUACAGAAUUUCAAAAUGGAGAUUAGAAUAGUCAUGUCUUUGUGGCGCUAAUACACGACUUCCUCAGUUACCUGUGUUUCCCAAGACAUUGAUGAAUGUAGACUUGCAGUCUGUUUUGUUUCUUCUCAUCUGCAUCAGUAAUGUGGUUAUGUUAUUUGUCUCAAGUCACUCUCCUUAUCCCAGCCUUAUAUUUCUUCCCUUUUCUCCCUGUCACCCUCAUUCUGUUAGCUGUAGGGGAUAGAUCAUAAAUAUACAAGUGUGAGAAUGAUAGGUUCAGUUUAGGUGCCCUUAACCACAUAGGAAUGCCAACAGAUGCUGUUGGCAUGACCCUGUUAAUCAGUUUUUUCUAAAGUCAUCCAAGACUUUGGUAUUUUGAACUUCUCGGACCUAAUCGUAGUCAGUUUGUGGCAGCUUAUCAGUGUUAGUUUUAUGAGAUAGUAAUAAAAAAAUUUGGAGAGCGUUGUGUGCUAAUACUUUGCACUGCCAGACCUCCUUGGCUGCAGAAAAAUCAUUUUGGUUAAUGAAUGAUUUUGCUGUUUUAUAUUGUUCAGGUUACCUGAUGUAAGCUGUUGUAUGCUCAAGACUGUAACAUAAGUGACAGUACCUUUUUUUCCUUCUACUGCUACUGUAAGAGGUGGCUUGAGGAUCCAGUUAGUAUCUUCUGUGGCAUUUUGGGUAGGUGAUUAACGUAGAAUAUAAGAAAUGAAUAACUAUCAAGAAUUGGAAUUAGGAAAAUUUACUUUGCAUAGACACUGGAGGAAGCAUGUGGAAUAUUUACUAUACAUAUGAGUAAGAUACAUAGAGAAGUAAAAACUUUUCAUGUUUUUAACCUUUAUAGAAUCAAUCUUUUUUUUUACUUUACUUUUGAAAUCAAGUAUUCACGAAGAUAUAAACUAUUAUGAUUUUACUUGAUAUAUAUUACCUCUACACUAUAUGCAGAUAUAUAUAUUACCUCUAUACUGUAUGCAAUUGAGCACAUCUGAUAAUACAAGAUAGUAUUGUGUUUCAGCAAUUCUGAUAACAGAGGUAUUGGCAAUACUAUAAAUAUAAUUGCUUAGUUUUCUGUCUUGUAAAGAUGGAGGAACUUCUCAGUAUAAAUUAUAGCAAGAACUAUUACUUGUUUAGCUUUAAAGCAUUUGGAAGGUUUGAAGCAAAUGGAUGACAUUUCAGAUGUACCGUAAAAAAAAUUCAAAUGUACUGUAACAAGCAAUGCUCUUAGUCUUGCUUUCCUAGGUGACUGAAAUUCGAGAAGGGCAGGUCUAUAGUGGCAUUCUUUCGUGCUCUUUUGUAGCUUAUUGUGUUUGAUUUUGAUAAAGGCAUAUGUUAGUUUUAGAAAUAGGGCAUUUCAACUUAAGUGACCUCAUUUUCCCCAUGUCCGUUUCAAGGUGCAGUUAACAGAUCUCACUAAAUUUAUACUGGGUGUAUGUUGAAUUUUGGGGUGAUUAGUUAAAGCUAAUGUUUUUGGAAUUUUGCAAAUGAGCUAAAGAUGUUACCCUUUGUAUCAUUUAAGUAUAGAAUGAGUCUUCUGUAAGUUUGUCUUUGUUAUGUGGUGGUUUUUGUUGAUUUUCAGUUAUGGUGUUCAAGGGUUUGUGUGGUGCCUGAUGAAUGAUAACAAGAAACAGGUAGGAACCUGGCUGUAUUAAGUGGUUGAAGGUAGGAAGUACUUUUAAUUGGGCAUAACAUACUGUAAUUGACUCUAAGAUAAGUAUGGGUCUCUGGGCAUUAGGUUAGGUACUGGAAGGAGAAGGUUUUGUGAGGUCCAGUUACAUAUAGCAGUCAGGAUGUUGGAAUUUGAAGUCAUGCCAAGAGAUGCAAUAGUUUUCAAGUAGGUAGGAAGAAUGAGAAAGUUGCAGUGAUUGACUUCUGAAUUUGUCAUUUUAUUUAAGAAUCAUUCUUCACACAAACCCCAUUUAUAUUAUUGGGCCCUUAUUUGGAACUGUAAGUGCUGUGUAGUCAGUGGGUAAUUGAACAAUCUUUAGGGGUAUUGUAAUUAGACUUGACAAACACUGGUGUCAAUUGUUUUAGUACAGUUGUAAUUUAAAUUAGCUACAAAUAUUCUUAAAGAGUUUAGUAGAUAUCAAGGGACAUUGUCGGUGUUACAAGUGCUUUCAAUUAUUGAUUCUUUCAAUAGAAACCUGUUUCUUCUAUUAUUAGUCUCCCAGGAAGGGGUCAUUCUUAUCAACUGGUGUUAUCAGUUGGGAAAAAUAUAAGUUGGUCAUUUAUGAUUUUAUAAUUUUUUGUGCAAAAUUGCUUUUUACUUCAACUUUUGUCUGUGCUUUUUAGGUUUCUGUUUGUGAUUAUUUUGUAAUCCAUUACUUCCUUUCCUUGUUAAUUGAUUUGACUGGUUGUUUACAGUUAAUCGUAGCAAGUGCAUUGAUUUGUACAUUCAAAUAAACAUGUAAAAGUCCCAUGAUAAAAUAGGAUUAAGUAGGUCAUGCAAUAUCAAAAUGUCUCAUUUGUAGUGUUAGCAGGAACCUAAUUUAUUCAUUUAUGUGGUUGAAGUUACCCAGACAAAUAUGUCAGUGAAUUUUGGCUAGUGUCCCUUUUGGAGAGAAUUUUGAAAGUCACCAAAGGUUCUGUGCCACUUGUCUUGGUCCCCAGUUUUAGUCAAUUUUUUGGGUUUUUCUUCACUCAUCUGCCCUGCUUCUCUCAACUUAAUCCUGCGCCUUUUGUUUUGUGAGAAAAUUGUGUGGGGCAUCCCUGUUGUAAAAGUUCAGAAAUAUGUGUUUGGUUUAACUGCUCUUUGAUAAAAAUAAUGUGGAUUUUCUUGGAACUGUGUGGGUUUGUUUUGUCCCAAAGGUAAAGUACCAGAUUUGUGUUUUAGUUUACGAUGGUAAACAGAUCUUGGUUUGUUAUCUGUGGUCAGCUUUAUCUCUUCAUCUUAUAUUUCAUGGUGCUUUUAUUUUCCAGAUGGUUUCCAGCCUGGGAAGUUUUCUUUGCGUAACUUUUCUUUGCCGAGGAAAGUUAUAGAUUAUUUUUUCUUUUGUUUUAAAUUUGGCACAUAUUUUUUUUGUGAUAUACGCAUUUUGAUUUAUUGUUUGUGUAAAAAGUAAAAAAUAUAUGACUUAUUUCAAGUAACAUAAAGGAAAAAGGGUGAAAAUGAACCUCAACCUCUUUAAAUGUCUCUUUCCAUGUUGAUUUGUUAAAAUUGCUUGGUUACCCAAGCUGUCUCAGUUUGUGAUAUACAUUUAUACAUUUUUAGUGUGGAUUUAGAUACGUAUAUUGUACCAUUAUUCUGGCUAAUGACAUACAUUUGGCCGUUUAUUUUUGAGAGGUAUCCAUUUGUUGCUUUGUUCUAGCAUUUAAGCGUGUCGUUGCAUAUUUGCGUUAGUGUAUAGUAUGUGAUCUGUGAGGCAUGUAACAUGGUGUAUGUUUAUUUGCAAAACAACAUCUCAGACUGAGAGGUUGUUGAUACCGUUUCAGCGCAUGUGUUCAUGUAAGUACUUGUCUUUAUUAACGUGUCUUCCUUGUUUCUUGGGCAUUGAGGAAAGGUAGCAAGCUGUUCAGCUUCAUCAUAUUGAUAUCUUUGGACAUUCUGAUUGGGGAUCUUUGCCAAAAAUGGGGCCAGUGUUUCUUUUCAGUGGUUUGUUUUCUUGGCUGCAGAAAGGUAAUUUCAUAUGGAAAAGUAGGUCUUUAAAUAAGGCUUGGUAACUGUUCAAGAAUUGCCACUUCAUAUGAAAGGCUGUCAUAUGGGAAAUAUGUACAUAACAAAGAUUUUUAUUUAACAUUUAGCUUAAGCCUUCAUGUAUUGUGUGGUCAUUGGUAAUGAAGUAUUUAAUGCAAUUAGCAUGCUGUUGUAAAAGAUGCAGGAACAAGUAUGGAGAGGAAUGCUGGCAGUGUUAGAUAUUUAUAAAAGUACAGCAAUGGCUUUGAGUGUGUGGUCACGAAGCCAUGCAUUGGAAAUUACUGAGUACCAUUUUCAGAGAUACGAGGACAGCUUUGGUAAGAUUUGGAACUCUGAAUUUGCCGAACGGUGUGAUUCGCUGUUGCCAGAAUAGGCUUUACUUGUGCAGGGCUUAAAAGCCGUCCUCACCGGAACCAAAUCAUCUCUCUGAGGUGUUUUUCAAACAUGCUGAUAUAUGUGCUAAUUAGACUGGAGCUUGGCUGAUCAGUAGCAUUGUUCGUUCAUCGUAGAGAGCUGUCCUUAGUUUAGGAUUCGUAGAUACGUGACAAACAUGCCAGUAACUGCUAGCUAUGCUUUAGGCAUCACUUACUUAUUUCGUGAUUGUACUUAUUUCGUGAUUGUAUGUAAUCACAAAACUCAGACAAUCAUAAGAUAAGUUUCAUGCCGUAAGACAACAAAUCCCAGGCAGUAACGCAUAUCCACCCGGGUUAGUACAGGUUACAAGUUUGUUUUUGUGAUUUUAACAAAAUGGAAAGUCAAAGCUCAUAACUGUAUGUAUAUUGAUUGUGUAUAUACCAAAGACAUUGUUCAAUUCAAAACCAAAUGUGUUUGAUAGUCUUUUGUCUGAGGAACACUGUAGUUAGAGCUUACUGUACAGUAUUUGGGUCCCCUGUGAAACAGAUGCUGUCUUUGGCUUUCUUGCGAGACAACCCUGUUAGAUGCUCAUUAGGUUGAUGCCUGGAGUGAAAUGCUUACGAUGCAGAGCUACCUUCAUCUUGUGAAGGGUAGCGACUUUUUUUUUCUCAACCCACCAGUUCAAAUUGAGCACAAAGCAAUUCAAGCUUCUCCGAGCAGCUGCUGUCUUGUGGUUUCUGGACUAACGAGCUUUCUGCGCAACCAGUGGAUCAAUCUGUCACCCAGUCUCAGAAUUGUAUUCUGCUAGACCUAUUUUAUAUGAGAGAGAGAACUAUCAUUGUUACCUUUUUUUUAAAGAUUUCAUUAUCCUGUUUCGUACUCACAAUUUCUCCUUCAUUCUAUUUGCAUUUUGUGCAAUACUUCUCAUAUCAUGGUUCAUAUCAUAUUCUUGUAUUGAAUAACGUGCGUGUUUUAUAUGUUGUGUAUAUUUGGCUUGUGAGGUCGCUCUUUUGUACAUAGGUCGUGAAAGGUUAGUGGUCAUACUUGUGUAAAUUGCUUGAAAAUCUAUGUAUUGUGGAUGAAUAUGUAAAUGAUAGAUGAAUAUAUAUAUAUAUAAAGUAUAUAUACAUAUAUUUUUAAAACAGAAGAUGUCGUUUUGGAUAACGCAUGAUAGCCAAAGCAAUACCGUUGAGCCAGAAUAUGACAUAACCCUUUUAUAUAAAAGAAUUAUUAUUAUACCCUCUUCAGUUUCAGUUCAGUUCCCAUUAUCGACAAGAAAUUUUUGUAUCAGAAGAAAACUGUACAACCUUCGGAUAUAAAUAUAUAUACUCUUAGAUAA